GGGUAAGUGGCCGAGAGGUUUAAGGCUUGAUACUUGAGAUAUCAUACACUUUCUGUGUCGCGAGUUCGAAUCCCGCCUUACCCG
rnacentral:tRNA from 1 species